UCAAGCUAUUAAGGGCUGUUGGUGGAUGCCUUGGCAUUAACAGGCGAUGAAGGACGUGUUACCUGCGAUAAGCUUCGGGGAGUCGGAAUAAGGCUUUGAUCCGGAGAUUUCCGAAUGGGGAAACCCGAUGGGAAUAAUACCUCAUCAUCUGUAGCUGAAUACAUAGGCUACAGAAGCAAUACUUACCGAACUGAGACAUCUCAUUAGGUGGAGGAAAAAAAAUCAAACGAGAUUCCCGUAGUAGCGGCGAGCGAAAUGGGAAUAGCCCAAACCGAAGGCUUUCGUGCCUUCGGGGUUGUAGGACCAAUCAAAUGUGUAACAAACUCUAGCUAAACAUUUCUGGAAAGUUAGGCGAAACAGGGUGAUAGCCCCGUAAGCGAAAGAGUGAGUUAACAGGAUUGGCACCUGAGUAGGGCCGGACACGUGAAACCCGGUCUGAAUCUGGGGGGACCACCCUCCAAGGCUAAAUACUAGUUAAUGACCGAUAGCGAACAAGUACCGUGAGGGAAAGGUGAAAAGAACCCCUGUUAGGGGAGUGAAAUAGAAUCUGAAACCAACAGCUUACAAGCGGUCAGAGGCCUAUGCCCUUUUUAAGGGAAUGGCUGAUGGCGUGCCUUUUGCAUGAUGAGCCAGCGAGUUACGUUAUAGGGCAAGGUUAAGGGACAUACGUUCCGCAGCCGAAGCGAAAGCGAGUGUGAAUAGCGCGUACAGUCUUAUGACGUAGACACGAAACCAAGUGAUCUAUCCAUGACCAGGUUGAAGCAAGGGUAAAACCUUGUGGAGGACCGAACCAGUAUACGUUGAAAAGUGUUUGGAUGAGUUGUGGAUAGGGGUGAAAGGCCAAUCAAACUUGGAGAUAUCUUGUUCUCUCCGAAAUAACUUUCGGGUUAGCCUCGGAAUAGACUUUUUUAGGGGUAGAGCACUGGAUCCCGGCGGGGACUUCACCGUCUACCAAUGGGAACCAAACUCCGAAUACUAAAAAAGAUGCCGGGAGAUAGACAGUGGGGGAUAAGCUUCAUUGUCGAGAGGGGAACAGCCCAGACCGUCGAUUAAGGUCCCAAAUUCUAUGCUAAGUGAGUAAGGAAGUGAAGUUUCUAAAACAGUUGGUAUGUUGGCUUAGAGGCAGCCAUCAUUUAAAGAGUGCGUAACAGCUCACCAAUCGAGAAACUUUGCGCCGAUAAUAUCCGGGACUAAGUAUAGAGCCGAAAUCACGGGUGUAGACUACUUUGGUAGUCUACGCGGUAGGAGAGCGUAGUAUGUGCAUCGAAGGUAUACCGUGAGGAGUACUGGAGCGCAUACUAGUGAAAAUGCAUGGCAUGAGUACACGAUAAAGGAGGUGAGAAUCCUCCUCGCCGAAAACCUAAGGUUUCCAAGAGUAAAGCUCGUCUUCUCUGGGUUAGCCGGUCCCUAAGUCGAGGUCGAAAGGCGUAGACGAUGGAAAACAGGUUAAAUAUUCCUGUGCCACCUAAAGCUAUGGUGAUGGAAUGACGAAGUACAUUAAGCACGCGGACGAUUGGUAGUGUCCGUAGGGUUAUGAGGAAGGCUGAUAGUUAAAUGCGUCAGCGUAAUUCCAGGUAAUUCUCAAGGGGAAUCUUCGGAGGAACCGAUGGUGUAGCGUAAUGCUUCCAAGAAAUAAUUUCUAACCGCUGAUGGUGACCGUACCAAAACCGACACAGGUAGGUAGGAUGAAUAUUCUAAGGCGCGCGAGAGAACUCUGGUUAAGGAACUCGGCAAAUUAUCCCCGUAACUUCGGGAGAAGGGGAGCCACAGGGUGUGAUUAUCCUUGCGAUAUGAGCAUCAGGUGGCCGCAGAGAAAUGGCCCAGGCGACUGUUUAUCAAAAACACAGCACUAUGCGAAGUCGUUUAAGACAAUGUAUAUGGUGUGAUGCCUGCCCAAUGCCAAAAGGUCACAUGGAGAUGUUAGAACCUCGGUUCGAAGCAUUGAAAUUAAGCCCUGGUGAAUGGCGGCCGUAACUAUAACGGUCCUAAGGUAGCGAAAUUCCUUGUCGGGUAAGUUCCGACCUGCACGAAUGGCAUAACGAUCUGGGCGCUGUCUCAACCAGAGACUCGGUGAAAUUGUAGUAGCGGUGAAGAUGCCGUUUACCCGCAACAAGACGGAAAGACCCCGUGAACCUUUACUGUACUCUGAUAUUGGCUUCUGACUUGUCAAAUGUAGGAUAGCCGGGAGACAUUGAAAGCUACUCGUCAGGGUAGCUGGAGUCAUCCUUGAAAUACCGGUUUUGGCAAGUUGGAAAUCUAACGUAAUCCCGUGAAUCCGGGAUACGAACAGUGUCAGACGGGCAGUUUUACUGGGGCGGUAUCCUCCUAAAGAGUAACGGAGGAGUUCAAAGUUAGCCUCAUCGUGGUUGGCAAUCACGAGACGAGCGUAAAGGUAUAAGGCUGAUUGACUGCGAGACUUGCAAGUCGAGCAGAUACGAAAGUAGGACUUAGUGAUCCGGCGGUGGAAAGUGGAAUCGCCGUCGCUUAACGGAUAAAAGGUACUCCGGGGAUAACAGGCUUAUCGCCACCAAGAGUUCAUAUCGACGUGGCGGUUUGGCACCUCGAUGUCGGCUCAUCGCAUCCUGGGGCUGAAGAAGGUCCCAAGGGUUUGGCUGUUCGCCAAUUAAAGCGGUACGCGAGCUGGGUUCAAAACGUCGUGAGACAGUUUGGUCCCUAUCUGUUGUGGGCGUAGGAUACUUGAGAGGAGCUGCUUCUAGUACGAGAGGACCGAAGUGGACAAACCAAUGGUGUUUCGGUUGUUCUGCCAAGGGCAUUGCCGAGUAGCUAUGUUUGGAAAGGAUAAGCGUUGAAAGCAUCUAAACGCCAAGCCUCCCUCAAGAUAAGGUAUCCCAAUGAGACCCCAUGUAGACUACGUGGUAGAUAGGUUGGGUGUGUAAGCACAGCAAUGUGUUGAGCUAACCAAUACUAAUAGGUCCAUUGGCUUGAUCAU
rnacentral:rRNA from 1 species